AUUGAACGCUGGCGGCAUGCCUUACACAUGCAAGUCGAGCGGCAGCGCGGGGGCAACCCUGGCGGCGAGCGGCGAACGGGUGAGUAAUACAUCGGAACGUGUCCAGUAGCGGGGGAUAACCUGUCGAAAGAUAGGCUAAUACCGCAUACGACCUACGGGUGAAAGCGGGGGACCGCAAGGCCUCGCACUAUUGGAGCGGCCGAUGUCGGAUUAGCUAGUUGGCGGGGUAAGAGCCCACCAAGGCGACGAUCCGUAGCUGGUCUGAGAGGACGAUCAGCCACACUGGAACUGAGACACGGUCCAGACUCCUACGGGAGGCAGCAGUGGGGAAUUUUGGACAAUGGGCGCAAGCCUGAUCCAGCCAUGCCGCGUGAGUGAAGAAGGCCUCGGUUGUAAGU
rnacentral:rRNA from 1 species